UUUAUUUGAAACCUUCUUCCUUAGAAAAUUUUAGAGCCACUAUUCUUAGCAUGUGAAACUUUUUCAUCCCUUUGCUCAUUACUUUUUUUUUUUUUCCCUUGACAGUGAGAGAGAGGAGCCUAUUCUUUCAAAUGUGACUAAAAACAAAACAAAACUCUCAAGGUUCAUGAGCAAUCAGUCCUGUUGAAAAAGACCUGAUGUGAGAUGGUGGUUAUCUUUGUGCCUGGCCUAAGACUCCUUUUGGCAGUUGACUUGGACAGAUACAAAUAAGACAUGUUUUUGCAAUUUCUCCUUUUUAAAUUCCUGGGCAGUAGUUCAAUUUAUUUUGCUCCUUUGCUGGGAAUUACAAGCUUCUAAGUCCUAGAGAAGAUCUCACAUGUCCACAGAUGUAGCAACAAUAUAUUUCCCAAAGGAUUAAUUUUAGUCAAAUAUGGCAGAAUUACUAACAAAAUAUAUCUAAUUCCAUUCAGUAGAACUUAUUUCAAACAUUAGUUUUUCACUGCAGCCAAAUGUUUUGUCCAGCGUUCAGGAUUUGUUUUAAAGGUUAUAUUUCUUAAAGGGAUUUGUUCCAUUGAGUGCCAGACAUCAGGUGGGGAAAGGAGAAUGAAUGAAAGGAAAGCAAAGGAGGAAUGUUCUGUCGUAAAAUUAAGUAGCAAAAGCUGUGUAUGUAGCCUUUUCUUAGCCUGGUGUACUUUAUUGGUCUCUGAGAAGUCAGAAAGAGGCAGGAUAAUUUUAUUAACCCACUGAUAUUUGUUAACUUUUAAAUAAGAUCCAUGACUACAAGAAAACAAGUUUAAGGUAGUUGAACAUAUUUAGACCACCUAGUUAAGGUUUAAUUCUGUGAUUGCUCUUAUGUGUGAGGGAUCUUUGAUCGGGUUCAUUUUAAAACAGUGGUUCUCAGUCUGGGCUGCAGAUUGGAACCACCUGGGGGCUAUAAAAUUUACUCGUUACUAGGAAGGGGGGUUGGGGAAAGGAAGGAAUAUUGGGAUAUCUGUGGAUAUUGCCUGGAGAAUCACAGUUUUUGAAAGUUGUGGCAUUAAACUCUAAGCCCCAGGCAAUUGUUUUCCCCCCACUCCUUCCUCCCACUACCACCAGGCCUGUUGUAAAGGAGGAUAUUUGACAGUCCCCACUGGGCUCAGCUUUGGAGUUUCAUGAGUAAGGCUCCAAGUUUCAUUAGUGGGAUCUUGGCUUUUGAAACCUCAAAUCUCAAGAAAAAAAUCCAAUAAUUUUAUUUACCAGAUGCCAUGUGUUUUAGGCAAAGGUUCUUAUUUUUCUGUAACACAGCUUUGGGUGAUAAAGCCUGGAUUCAGUAUGACAGUUCCGUGACUUUCAGUGAAAAUGUUAAAAUUGUAAGAAAAUUUCUAGCUAUAGUUGUCUGAACAUCAGGCAUUCAUAAUGUUCCAGAAUACAGUUCUUAAAUCUGAAAGUGAGCCAAAAAAGGUCUGCACUCCAGAAAUAGCUGACCCAGAAGAACUUUGAAAUUUAGUUCUUGGGCUCUUAGAUAGUUAUUAACAUACACAUUUUGACAGUUUCUGCUUUCUGUGGCUCACAGGAAAAAUUGGGAAAUGGGCUAGGGAAAAUGUAGGCAAAGUGAUACCAAUGAGUAAGGCUGUAGAUGUCAAAAAAAGGUCAAAUAAUUUUGAGUUUAAAAAUGACAGCAUGCACAUUCGUGACAAAUUUCCAUUAAUAAUGGUUACUCUGUAGGCGGUUUUACUGUAUGGCACAGCAGAUAGAUUCUGGAGUCAGAUAAACUUUAGAUCACUGUGACCUCUGGUCUGGCAGCUUGCUUAAUUGUUCUUUGUCUUGGUUUGCUCUUUGGGGAUAAUAAUAGCACUUAACUUUUGGCAUUGUGAUGAGAUUAACUGACCUAAUAUAUUUGCCAAAGGAAAAAAAAAGUUAGUUGCUUUCAUUAUAUAACAGUUCCAGUAAUUGUGCAGUUGCUAGAUGCAUGUCCUUAACUACCAUUCCUUUCUCUUCUGAUGGUGUAUUCUCUGGAAAACCUUACUUAACAUUUUUGUUUGGAGCCCCUGAAAUGUAAAAUUUUUUGCAAUAUUUAAAAAUUCUGUGAUACAUAAAAAUGUGAAUUUCUGGUUUCUCUCUCAAAAUGGGAAAUUUGGGCAACAUUGGCCUGACAUACUUGCACGGCAAUAUUCUGUGGAGCCAGGGUGUACAUGCCUCCCCGAGAGGGAGAAUGUGUAUGUCUAUCUGUCUGCCUCCGUCCUUAGUCAUGCUUCUUCGUGCCUGUCGGUCACUUGUUCCACAUUUAGUUCUCCCUCUGUUCUUUUCUUUGCCUUUGGGUAAUGUGGCUUUUAGGAAGAGUGUCCUGCAAGAAGCAAGUCCAGUGACAUUUGAGUCCCUUAGAUAGCCUAGGUGUGAAGUCUUGGGCUUCUCUCCUUGCUGACCUGGGAGUGGAGCCUUGUGGGUGACUUAAUGACCAAAUUAGGACUUAUUUUUAGCCUGUGUGUGUGUUAGUAUCUGAAUUCUGUCAUGACAAAGGUGUCUUUACUGCUAAAGCAGUUUAUUUUAAAAUGUGGAAGGUUGAUGCUUUUCCCUUUUAGACUUGUCGAUAGUGAUGGAUGAAAACAUGAAAAUGUUUCUUAGCAAACUUGCUUAAAUGCAGAAGUUAAAAUUAGCUUCUGCAAUAGGAGUCUGUAAAACUCCGAGACGGAAAAGCCUUGCUAACUGGAGUCAUGCUGCAGACUUUUCUUACCUUGGCACUUGCUAAGACUGAGGCGGGGUGGGGAGGGGGGUGGUGGGAGAAGGGGAAGGUAGCACUGAAUUUUUGAUUUUCAGUUGGCAGGUAUUAAGAAUGCUUGGCAUUUGGUCACUUGAACAUUAAAUUCAGUUGUAGAGGUAACCAGAGUGUUGCUGUUUGUAGAACUGAAGUUGGUGGAGGAAUCCAGAUUGUAUUCCUAACCUGUAGUAAAUGUGAGCUUCAACACCUUAAUUACUGCGUGGUACUCAGCUUUUGGUAGGCGAUCGAAUUUUGUUGAAUGAAUGAGUAUCUGGAGGAAGACAGUUCAAGGGUCUGCAAACUACUGUCUGACCCAUGGCGGGUUUUGAUAUAGCCUGAGAGCGAAGAAUGGUUUUUAUGUUUUUUAAAGGAUAAUAUUCAAAAACUAUUCAGAGACAACAUUCCAAGAAUAUAUGAAAGACACCCCCCCCCCCGCCACUAUGGCCCAUAAAAGCAAACAUGGUUAUUAUCUUACUAUCUUACUUGAAAGGAAAGGUGUGCUGAUCCCUCCUCUAGGAGAUGGAGGGCUGUUGUCUGUCCCUGACUAAUCACUGUAGACGGUGGCAUCAUAUUGUGUUACCUGCUGACUAGGGCAGAGCUAAUGCCAGACACAUGAAGGCUUUUAAUAGAAAGCAAAGGUAUUACUAAUUAAGAAUAAUAAAAUCCAGACUGACUUUGUGUUUUAAGUCUUCCAAGAACUGUUUCUAUCAUGUCAUUGAGUCUGUACUAUAUGAUGUCACCAAAUUUUAGAAUGGAAAGAAAACUCUACAGUCCUCUUGUCCAGCCUUUCAUGAAUAAAGUAUGAAGAGGAAACAAAGGACUUCUCAAAAUGAAAUCUCUUUUUAGAAGAGCCUUUCCCAAACUGCUUUAUUUGAUGAUUUAAAA